AGGUAAAAUAGCGAUAAACAGAUUAUCAUUGGUCAUCUCAACUCGAUUGCUUUUCUCACUUUUGCUGUACCAGCUUAAGCGAGAAAAUCAAUCUCGUUGAGAUGAUCAACGAUAAUCUAUAAAUAUUGAGUCUGCUCAUCGUCUAAAUGGACAUAUUUACAUUUGUAUGCAAAUUUGUCUGUUCUUACUUGGUGCAAUCUCUGGAAAAAAAAUUCAUCAGAAAAAAAACAUGUGACAUCAUAAUUCUACUUCAUAAUCUUCAGUCUAGAUAGUGUUAAUUGUGACUUCAAAUGAUUAUUUUUAGCUAGAUCUAGUGUAAUAUAGAGCAAAUCCAGCUAAAUACCUGAAAUGUAAAUACAUAUAUACUUUUGUAAAGUAUUCUAAUAUGAUGUGCUUCUUUAGCUUUGUAAACAACACUGUGAUAAAAUUCUCGAUAAAAUAAACUUAGCGCAGACUCAGAGAUAUACAUAAUAAUGGCUGUUACAAUAUACUUCCCAAGUAAAUCUACAUGUAUUGGAACCUAUUUGCAGACCCUUUGCCGAUUUUAUUGUUUUAAAAAGUGCAAUUAAAAAAAGACAAUAACUUUUAUUCUUAUUCUUAUCGGAGAAAUCAACAAAUUAAAAAUUAAAUAAAAUUCCGCGAAAGUCUAUUAAUCUUUUUGGCGCAUUUAAGUCAUUUCAAAACAUGACGUCAUACAAAUGAAACCGCUAACGCUCAGGAUAAAAUUCGAAUAUCACGGCCCAGGCCAUGUGUAAAUUUUCAACAAUCUAUGGCUUUCAUGAAUUAUUUCUUAAUCAAAAUAUACAAUGAGAAGAUCCAACUUUGAAGUUAAGAAGAUUUGAAGCACUUCAUUGUAGUAAAAAGAUGCUAUCACAGAUUAUUUGAAGUAUAAAUGUCAUCGCCAUAUUGUAAAUAACCUGCUAAUUCAUAUAAAAAAAAAUUAGUUAUAAAGUAAAAUCUGGUCGAUUUGAUCUAUAUUGAUAAGUCAGUGCCCAAUAUUUACCAAUCUUGAUGGGUUUAUUUUUUGGUGAAUUAGUUGACCCCCAGUAAAUCAGUGUAAAAAAAUCAUAGAACAAUUGAUUAUUAAUACUUAUUACUGUGACGUUAUAAAAUUCUCGAUGGUUUAAGUACUUGAAACAGUUUUUUUGUAAUAAUGUCAACUCAGAAAUUUUUACAUACAUUUUUUGCAAUUUUUUAAAAAGGUGCAAAAUUAUUUAUCACAUUAAAUAAAAUGCUCCAUACAAACAAUGCUUUAAAACUUUAUAGCGCAACUUAUUAUUUUAAUUCUCAAAAACUUCCAACAGCAAUUUACUGAAAAAUAAAACCAUGGCAAAAAUUUACAUCAUACAAUAAGGUCUUUUCCAAAAAUAUAUUGUUGUCAGAGUUCUAUUCUUAUUUCUGGACCUCUUGUAGAAAUGUAUAUGUUAACGUGCCUAUCAACUGGAAAUUCAUUGUAUUUACUCGUGUCAGAACUCAAUGAAAUGGGUAUGAAUAGCCUAUUACUUUACAUGUAUUUGAUUUUUAGUUAGUGCUAGUUAUUUUGAUAAGAAAAAAACUUUGUUAAGAUAAGUUAUGCUAUUCCGUCCCAAAUUUUUCAUAACUUUCUUAAUUCAUCAAUGCAGGAAUUCUGUUGUUUCAUUACCUGUUUUUUUUUAUUGUAGAAUAACAAUGUGUAUUUUAUUCUAUUCAU
rnacentral:lncRNA from 1 species